GAUGAACGCUGGCGGCGUGCUUAACACAUGCAAGUCGAACGGAAAGGCUCCUGCUUGCAGGGGUACUCGAGUGGCGAACGGGUGAGUAACACGUGGGUGAUCUGCCCUGCACUUCGGGAUAAGCCUGGGAAACUGGGUCUAAUACCGGAUAGGACGAUGGUUUGGAUGCCAUUGUGGAAAGUUGUUCGGUGUGGGAUGAGCUCGCGGCCUAUCAGCUUGUUGGUGGGGUAAUGGCCUACCAAGGCGUCGACGGGUAGCCGGCCUGAGAGGGUGUACGGCCACAAUGGGACUGAGAUACGGCCCAGACUCCUACGGGAGGCAGCAGUGGGGAAUAUUGCACAAUGGGCGCAAGCCUGAUGCAGCGACGCCGCGUGGGGGAUGACGGCCUUCGGGUUGUAAACUCCUUUCGCUAGGGACGAAGCGCAAGUGACGGUACCUGGAGAAGAAGCACCGGCUAACUACGUG
rnacentral:rRNA from 1 species